rnacentral:rRNA from 1 species
UACGUAGGGUGCGAGCGUUAAUCGGAAUUACUGGGCGUAAAGCGUACGCAGGCGGUGAUGUAAGACAGGUGUGAAAUCCCCGGGCUUAACCUGGGAACUGCAUUUGUGACUGCAUCGCUGGAGUGCGGCAGAGGGGGAUGGAAUUCCGCGUGUAGCAGUGAAAUGCGUAGAUAUGCGGAGGAACACCGAUGGCGAAGGCAAUCCCCUGGGCCUGCACUGACGCUCAUGCACGAAAGCGUGGGGAGCAAACAGG